UACGUAGGGUGCAAGCGUUGUCCGGAAUUAUUGGGCGUAAAGAGCGUGUAGGCGGCCAGACAGGUCCGUUGUGAAAACUCGAGGCUCAACCUCGAGACGCCGAUGGAAACCACCUGGCUAGAGUCCGGAAGAGGAGAGUGGAAUUCCUGGUGUAGCGGUGAAAUGCGCAGAUAUCAGGAAGAACACCCGUGGCGAAGGCGGCUCUCUGGGACGGUACUGACGCUGAGACGCGAAGCGUGGGAGCGAAGCAGG
rnacentral:rRNA from 1 species